ensembl:antisense 0610038B21Rik RIKEN cDNA 0610038B21 gene
CUCUUCCUUCCGAGGCAGCGGCGGUGGAGAAUAUAGUCGUGCCCUCCACCUCCGGACGCCUGCACCUCCCCGAUCUCGGCUCACAAGGUCCAGGUGACUCAGGCUGGUCCCCGAAGUGGACGCCUGACCGAACGGGGUGGAUUUCGGUGGCUACACCGAGUGACGAGAGACAUGCAGCGUUGCUGCUCUUGCUGCCAGAAGUUACUGUGACCCCCCCUCCCCCAUACUCAGAUUCUGUGAGAGUUCUUGAUGACAACACUGAGCCAAACCAGCAUGGCCCCCUCCUUCAUGGACCAGGAAGCUUCAGCACACAGAACUAUCUAGCAAAGGACCCCAAAAGUGCAAAUGCUAAGGGGAAAGUCUGAGCAACAGUGGGACACGGGACACUGGACACGGUGCUACCAAGAGGACCUUGGACUGGGCUGAGACAUCAGUGUGUGUGUGUGUGAGAGAGAGAGAGAGAGAGAGAGAGCUGAAGGAUUAGGGUUAGCAGGCCGAAAUGCAGAUGUCAUGUGGAGAGAAACACUCAGAGAGGACACUGAGCUUUGGAAAGGGCCGUGUGGCUGGAGCGGAGCACGGUGGGCUGAGAUGGGGUGAAGAGAGCAUGGCACGUCCCACAUGCUUCACACCAAGCUCAUUGCUCUCCACAAGGAUGUGGAGCAUAGGUUUCUGACAUCCAUAGUAUGUCUAGCAAGAGACUGCUUUUUCCCCCUGAGCUCCCAGACAUUACAGCUUAAAAGAGCUUGGAACCCUGAGAAAAUUCUACGAUUGCACUAACCUUGUAGCAUCAAGCCAGCAGAUACUAAGGACAGAGAGUAGGCAAGCCAUGAUAGCACUGCAAAGUCCCCAGUCUGGAAGUUCCAGACGGAAUAAAGCUAGCGCGUGGGUAAGCAGCACACUGAUGCUUGCUGUACCAGCCUGGCAGCCUGGCUAAAAAGUGACCACUCCUAAUGAAGCGGAGAGGGGUAGUGGGGAGGUGAGCAGCGUGGGGGAGCCGGCUUUUCUCACUCCACCCACAUUAAAUUCAUAUCCUCUGAAAAAAAAAAAUCUGGUACUCGGACCUAUUCAAAUUUGGAGCUAGAAGAACAUGGCUGAAGGAGAUGUAGGUCAUGGAACUGCUAGUGCCUUCCUCAGGCGGAGUCCCUGUCAUUACUAUAGUUAUUGCUUCUCCACCCAUCCUGAGCUUUUAGAGAGACUUGGCAGGUAAGAGAGGGCACUCGCUAGACAGGUCAUAAAAAUGUCUGUCUAAAUAAAUCAGCAGGCAUUCCUGAAUGCCCACAGACACCACCCCUCCCCCACCCCCCAGGCAAAUGCUGCCCUCUUUCCUGGGACAUGUGGAAGAACUAGCCUAAGAAGUGACCUUGGCAUUUGUUUUGCCCAGAUAUUAACAACACGUAUAUGUAACAAUAUGUACAUUAUAUAACUAAGGCUAUAUACAUAUUUGUAUGAGAAAGGAAAAAGAAGUUAUCUGCCAAGAAUGUUUUGCUCAGCACCCAAAGUGCCCCUGGUAUGACCUAGAGAGGUUUCCACAGUGUGACUUUCAACUGGGCAAAUAUCUAGCUCCUGGAAAAUCAACCUACAGCAAUCAAAGGCUCCUUCAGAGAGUCUAUUGGCGCUUCAGU